UCAGCCCUUACAGUAGAAUGGGCAUUGAAUGAACUUCUCAAACAUCCACGUCUCAUUCGAAAGGCAACCGAAGAGCUUGACAGAGUGAUAGGGAGAGAUAAGUGGGUGGAAGAGGCUGAUUUCUCAAAACUGCCUUUUCUAGAGGCGAUCAUAAAGGAAACUCUCAGGUUACAUCCACUGGCAACGCUACUUUCGCCCCGUUAUGCCCUCGAGGAUUGCACUGUAGCUGGUUAUAACAUUGCUAAAGGAACAACGGUGUUUAUAAACACAUGGAGUAUAGGGAGGAACUCAAAGUAUUGGGAUUCUCCAGAAGAAUUCAUUCCAGAGAGGUUUUUGGAGAAGGAUAUUGACAUGAAGGGACAAAACUUUGUGCUACUGCCCUUUGGCUCAGGUCGGAGGAUGUGCCCAGGCUAUAACCUUGGAAUCAAACUUAUUCGAUCAAUGUUGGCCAACUUGUUGCAUGGAUUCAACUGGAAAUUGCCUCAGGGCAUGAAACCAGAGGAAAUUUGCAUGGAAGAACACUACGGACUCACAACUCAUCCAAGGAUUCCACUUGCUAUGAUCCCAGAACCACGUUUGCCGGUCAAUCUCUAUUAGCGAGCAUGAUUUAAGGCAAAAUUGAAAUAUGUUCCUACUGUAUCAAUCAAAGGUUAAACUCAAUUGUAUCAUGCCCUUUUGAUCACUUAGCUCAAUUUAGGUGAGAGCUUGGGAGUUGGGACAGAGUAUAUUUGACCCAAGGAAACUUUAAAGAGACAAUAUUGCUCUUGGUGAUUUCUAUUGUGAAAUAAAACAAAAGUCACAAUCAUGUUGGUUUUUCUUUUCUUUCUUGAAAUUUCUUUUGGUGAAUUCUAUAUUGUGAAAUAAAAGAAAAUUCACAAUAACUUUUUUUUGCUAAAUAACAAAAGUCCAAAUAUCGCGAUUGUGACCUGUGGAAGAAUUGACAUGGAAAUAUUGAAGACUGCAGAGAGAGGUGGGAGGGGGGGGGGGGAAUUGGCUCCCUCGUUGGCAAAGAAGAUAGGUGCGCAACGGAAUUAAAUAUAACAUCUCAAAACUUUAAAUUUGACGAACAAACAAGGAGGUACUCAAUUAGAGCCACAAGUCUGUUCAAAAGUAACAUUACCCAAAGCAGAGUUGGCACAACUUACUGGAACAGAGAAGGAGCAAAAUUAAACUUUGUGCAACGACCAACUUUAUGAUUGGUUCGCACAAGGCCUAUAAAAAAGCCAAAACAAAUCUGACUUCUUGACUUCAUGCUACCAACACAUGUUACAGUAAGGCAAUGCUAACUAUGAACCCAAUUCCUAUGCAACUCAAGAAUCUAACCAAACACAGAUUGAACAUAGACGCCCAAUUUAAGUAAAAACUACAGGUGUCCACCUUAAUUAAGUAGCUUAUGAGUUUCCUCUACAAAGUUCAAGCUCAAACUUUGCAUUAACCGAGUUCGAACUCAAGUUUGAACAGUUCGAGCUACCUGACGAGUUUAAUCAAAUUCAAUCCAAUUUCAUACACACACAUGCAUAUUAAUUUUUUUUAUAUUAGUAAAAAAUGUCUAUUUUAUCCCUUAAUUUAAAAUUAUAUAAAAUAUAAAUUUAUAUUUCUUAAACUUGAUUAAACUCAAUUAGGAUUGAUGAGUACGAGUUUGAGUUCAAGUUCGAAUAAUGCAAAACAAAGUCGAGCUCGAGUUUUCAAGAGUUCAACGUGUCCGACCUCAAACUUGAAUCCAAGUUUUUAACUUAAUGCACUACUCGAGUUCAUUGGACUUGAUUGCACCCGCAAGUAAAAUAGCUUUUAAUAAAUAAAACCCUAAUUGGCUUAGUAUAGUAGUGCUAAAAUUAUCUUUAGUAAACUAAACUCAAAAACUAAUCGAACACUUUGUUGCAGUGUAGAAAAUGUCCCACUCUAAAUUAUAAUUAUUACCAAUCUUCAUCUUCGAGCAUAGGAAGGGAUUAGACUUAUAUAUGUGUAUAUGAUAUGACUACUUAUUUUGCUUGAUCGAAGAAUUCAUCCAUAUUCACCCACACAUGCCAUUAGAGCCAUCACAGUCUUGACAUGAUAAUCAUCUGGAUUCAAGUAAUUCUCAAAAAACCAAGAAAUAUAUUUUUCCAUUUGACAGUAUUUCCAAUAAAAUUUUCAAUUGCACAAUUUCCAACAAAUUUAGCCACCCCAGAAUUGAAUCCAUAAUUUCUUUGUCAUCAAAAUUAACACUUUUAGUGAGAAAUUAUUCAUUCUCAAUUACACCAAAUAGUGAAUAGGAAUCAAAAUUUCUAGCCUCUCCUAAAAAGGUUCCUACUUUGUAUCAGUUAAUGGUUGAACUCAUUCUCCCCUCUCUAUUCAUAUCUUGACGUUCUAAUCACCAGGAUCAUAUUCCGAAAACGAACGGAGUUGGAAUUGGUUUAGGGCCAAAUAUAAUUAAAUGGGACAAAUUAUCCAUUUGGCCCUUGAACUUUUAGUUUAGGUAAAAUUAAGCCAUCUAACUAUUUGUAGUCAACUUUUAGCCCUCGAACUUGUAAAAUUGGAACCCGUGGCCCUUUUGGCUAGUUAUCCGGUUUUGCAACCGGAAAGCCAAAUCACACGAAUGGCAAUAUGCUUUAAAGAAGGGCAUUUUUGUUCGUAUUUUCCAAGCAAAAAGUGAACAACUCCAUCUUCUUCCCUUUCCCUAACCCAACCAAACAAGUCGAACCACACCCCUUUUCCUUACCCCUCUUCAUCUUCGCUUGAGGAUCUUUGUCGAGGGAGAAGAGCAAGAGACAAUUAGCACUGUCGGGUUCAACAAUAGCUGGGUAUCAUCGACAUUGAAGCAACAAUGGAGUGGCAAUUAGGCCGCAAAAUGAAUACUUUGAUCCGGUUCUCGCUUAUGGUAUGUAACUUUAAUUUGUUGGAACCUUUAAAUGUGAAAUAACUAGCAUAUUCAGUAGUUGGAUGGGUAGCAAUAUUUUGGUGGCGGGGUUAUUGAAAGUGAUGUGGUAGUGGUCCUAGAUGUGGGGGUACGGUGGUAGAGACCUAAUUUUGUUGUUUGGUUGUUCAAAAAGUGUAGGGGUUUACGAAUAAUCUUUAAACAUUUGGAACUUGUUUAUUGUUUAACUUGGAUUUGGAUAUUAGAUUAGGGUUACUUUUUUAAAAAGCAUGUGUAGCAGAAAUUCAAAAUUAAUUAAUUAUUGUUUAAUUUUUUAAUAGCAUAUUUGGUUUUGACUUUUCAUGUCAAAAUCCUCUAAUUACAACAACUUUUUGGUAUUUUGGGGGUGCUUUUUCAGGUGAAGUACUAAAGGGAGCCCGAUAACCCUACCAAGUGUAAUUGCUCUUUUCCUCCUUUUUUUUUUUUUUUUUUUGGUUUUAGACUAGAUUUUGAUUUUGUUUUUUUCAUUCUUGGAUUUGUUUCAAAAAUUUUAUCAUCGAAUUUUUAGGCUUGUGCGCUAAUUUUGUUAAAAUUUUUUAAAAUGCAGCCUGCAAAGCUAGGGGAUCUGAUCUCCGUGUUCAUUUCAAGGUAUCGAUUGCUUUGAUCUACUUUUUUGAUGGCCAUUUAGUUCUUUUCCUGCUCUAUAUGUAUGUUUUUUUCGCUAUUUAAAGUUUUUGAUUGGACAUGUCGGCAGUAUAACCUGAUGAAAAAAGCAGGGGGCUGUUGCCGUUUAAUGUGAACGCGUCUCUCGUAAACUUCAGGAGGAAAAAACUUGGCAUUGUUAUUGGGUGAACCUCUUGGGCUUCAUGAUCCAGGGUUCAGUAAACGAUGAUACAUUUUGAUUAUAUAGUCGUCUUCCUUUAAUUAUUAGAACAAACCAAGGAUAACUUGGUGUUUUCUAAUGGGAUUUUGUGGGCUUCAGGCUAGCUUGUCUGUCAUGGAUGUUUUAGUAUUAAUUUCUUAAAUUGAUAAACUGUUGCAACCUUAUUUACAGCCCUCAAUUUUGAAGUAAAGAACAGCUGGCAGAAUGGGAGCUUUCUGUCCCUUGGUAUGAGGGGAAGAUAAUUGUUUAGUAAACGACAAGUCUUCAUACCUUUCAACCUAACAUAACUUUCAUGAUUCACUUCGAUGUGGGUUGGGGAUGUGGGUUGGGGUUUUUAGUGUCCGCAUCUCGGCUAAUUACUCAGAUUAUGGUCGAGAAAAAAAAAGUUCGAACAUAUACCGAUUUGACAAGGUCGUGGUACAAAUCUAUGGGUAUCGGGCCGUGUCAGCCCGGCACCCAAACUUCAUCCAAAUUUUUUUUUUACUUCUGACACCGCUGUCGGGCUAUGUCAGCCCGACAACAAGAAAUUUUUAAUUUUAAAAAAAGCUAUCGGCUACCGGGCUGACAAUGCCCGGUAGCCGACAAGGUCUGAUGGCUGCCGGGCUCAGUCAAAUUGUUUUAAAAAAAAAUGCAAAGUGGUCGGCAGGCUUGUGGACCAAAAAAAAAAAAUUGGCUGGCAGCUCCCGUGAAGCAAAAAAACUGAACGAAAAAAAAAAGUUAGUACGUAGCAGUUCCAGUGCAUGUUUUACAAUUUCAAAUAUUUGAAUAUGGGGAUUUAGCGCUAUUUUCAUCUUUUAUUAUUAUAAUGCUUAUCGCUAUUGGGUGUAUUCACAAUUUGACAAUGUCAUGUUAUGCAUUUUUUCUUCUUUUCAUUUUUUUGCCUAUUUUGUUUUUAUAUUGCACAACAAAUUUAUAUUUAUAAAAUUAUGUAAUCUAUUAAAAAUUAUAUAACAAUUUUAACAAAUAAUUUCUCAACAAUUUGAUACCUGCAUCUUAUUGUAAAAUGAAUGAGAUUUUUUUGUUUAAAACAGCCUUUGUUUAGUUUAACAUCGUAUAGAAGUAAUUAUUGAUUUAACAAAUCUAUUUUCAUCUAGUUCUAUUGUUCAAAUUUUGAAAUAUAAUUUAAUUAACUCCAAAAAUAGUCGGAUUUAGUACGUUAGGCGGCGUAAAUUUUGGAUAAAAAAUAAGGGCGAAAUUGUUGUAUUGGAAAAUGGAUGAAAUUUUCAACAUUAUUUAGUGAAUUUUGUAUAUGUCAAAACAAAUAUUGUGGUACAUUUUAUUUUUUAAUUGAAUUUCAUAUUUGAAAUAAUUGAGGCGUAAAUAUAAAAGAAAAUUUAGUGCAAAAAAGAAAAUUUUAAUUUGAGUAUAUAGUAACUUUAGUUGUAAAUAGUAUUCGGAUAUGAGUUUCAAUCGGUUAUGAUCAGGUAUUAUAAUUAUAAUAAUAAAUAAAGGUGAUUACUAAUAUAAAGUACUUAUAUGAAUUUUUAAAAAAUUUCUUGCCAUUUCAUCUUGUCUUUCCUUCAUAUUAAAUUAAAUAUUUCAAUAAUACAAUUUAAUGUGUUUAUAUUUAUGUUCAUCUUAAAUUGAUAAUUUUAUUGAAUAAUUUAAAUAUUUAUAAAAUCUUUAUUUCAAUUGAAACUUAAUAGACAACUAGUUAAAAUGCCAAAAAAAGAAAAAAAAUAUUAUUCAUUCGACUCAAUGUCAUAUAGUUACUUAUAUUAUAAUAGAAUAUUUAAUUAACUAUUUUAAUUUAUCAAAUAUAAGUAUUGGACAUUAGAUGAUGAAUAAAUUUUUAAGAGAACUUUUAUUGUGAUUUUAAAAUAUAUAAUAUUUUGAUCCAUGCAUAAUUCGCUUUCUCUGGUACCCGAAUAUACUUCUUCGUCCGUCUCCACAUAGUAGAGUUGGCCUUCUUGCAUUGCUUCUGCUUCUUAUGCGCAAAAAAGUGAACUUUCCACCGUAGACGUAACCUAUUGUUCGAUUCAGAUAGUGGAGCGUUAGCAAAUUUUAAUUUUUUAAAAAAAUUUGUUGUGCAAUAUAAAAACAAAAUAGGCAAAAAAAGAAAAAAAAAUGCAUAACUAAUUAUAUACAACUAAUUGAUGGACCGCUUUGCAUAAGUCGAUUAUUUCAAUGCAUCCCCAAUAUAGAUGUCAAAAUAGACAUCUUGUUAAUAAGUUGCCUUUGUUCAACCGCUUUGCAUUUUUUUUUAAAAACAAUUUGACAGCUUUUUAAAAAAAACAAUUUGACAGCUUUGUUCAACCGCUCUCCCUGGCAGCCAUCAGACCUUGUCGACAGCUUUUUAAAAAAAAAAAUUUUCUCGCUGCCGGGCUGUGUUGUCAGAAGUCAAAAAAAAAUUAGAUGAAGUUUGGGUGCCGGGCUGACACGGCCCGGUACCCAUAGAUUUGUACUACAACCUUGUCAGAUCGGUACAUGUCUGAAUUUUUUUUCCCUCGACCAUAAUCUGAGUAAUUCGCCCCGCAUCUCAUGGUUAUAGAAAGCAGGGAUUGUGUGUAUCGACGUUGUGCUAAUUUGUCAUUGCUGCAAUAUUCUUUUUUGUGGGAAGAUGGGCAGUUGUAUUUCAUUAUCUUGUUGAAAACCUUCAACAAUCAUCUUCCCGGCAUUUUUAUAUAUCCAUCUUGCUAACCAGUCUGACAUAUGAGCUUUUCCAAACCAGAUAUUUUAGUAAAAGUUCAAAGCCCAAUGUUGAUAUGCGUCCGUGGACAAAACUUUUGCUAUUCUAAACCAACAAUGAUAAAAUUUCAGAACAAGUAUGCCAGAUUGUAAGGUUGUUUCAAUUACUUUUUUUUUUAUUGUAACGAUAAUAUUUGUAUAACCUACUCUAAUUUAGUGUAAGAUUAUUUCAAUUGUAAGGUUGUUUCAAUUACACUAGGUGGUGUCGUAGAUUAAUAAUGCUAUUUCAAUUGUAAGGUUAUUUCAGAAGUGCUUUUACGUUUCCAGUUGCCUCGUAUACACGAUCGAUAAGAGUAACUAUUUAAUAUAGUCUUGUAUACACAGCCUAUGAGAGUAGAAUAAUGAUAUAUAUAUACAUAUAUAUUUAUAUAUUUAUUUAUUUAUAUAUCACCAAUAUACUCAUUAGCAAUUUAUCAUCACCUACGUGGAGUGAUGACGUGUGACAAGGUUUCCUUUUCCAUCUUAAAGGAGCAAUGGCAUGGCAGUAAUUACUUGUAAUAUAUAUCAAAUUAAUAAAAAAGUCUGUCAAAAUAUAUUUUAGAUGUUAUAUUUUUUGAAAAUAUAAGAUUAAUUAGAAAAAGUAAAUAAAUACAAGGGAGGGUAGUUAAGAUUAAAUCGAAAAAGUAUAUAAAUGCAAAGUAGGAUAAUAAUUAUUAGUAUAUGUAUAUACAUGGUAGGUUAGAUAUAUGUAUCCUUCUUAACUGAUCAUUGUUGUUAAUUAAUUAAAGAUAGUAUAUUCUAGAGCUAAUCCACUGUUGCUUUCUGCCAACGACCAAAUGGAACCAAGUACGCGAAUAUGUACAAUUAACUAAGGAUUAAAUGAACUAAUGACCAAAGAGCUUGCAAAAUUUGUAACUAAAAAUGCUAAUGGAGUCUACUUGAAUUCAUGGAAGAAGAAGGUGGGGGUGGUAGAGAGGAUUGAAUUAAUAAACGUAAAGUCAAAAGCAUAAUUGGAGUAGAAAUAUUCCUUUCAAAACGCUUUCCAUAUUUGUAUUAAGAAACUCCAUAAAAAUUGAAAAUUAUUCAAAUACAAAAUUUCCUAAAAUAAAAAGUACACACACAUUCAAUUUUAUAAAUAAAUUAUGGAAUAAUUUCAGAAAUCUCCCCUAAGGUUUCUAACAAUUUUAUUGAGUUCUCUUGAAGUUUAAAAAAUUACACAUACGAAAAAAAUUUAAAGGUGAUGUCAAAACACUCCUUUGGUCUAAUAAGAUCUGUAAACCUGUUAGUCUCUAACACAAGCAUCUUUAGGUUUUCCCUCCCCUGUAGUUUAGAAUAGAAUAGGUUAUACAACAGUUAUCAUCUCGAAAAAAAAAAAUCAUCUUCAAGAAGUGUUAUGACUUUUCAAAAUCCAUCAUUUUCUUUUCUUUUCUUUUUUUUCCCUUCUUCCCAAAAAAAAAAAUAGAAGUGAUCAAGUUUUGAUAAUCUAUUUUGAAGGGUAGCAAAUAUGCUUUGCAAUAUUUUACUAUAAGAUAAGCAAAGACCCAAAAUUACUGUAGCAACUUCCCUCGCUGACACGUGAUACUAUGGGUGAAUUUUGAAUAGUUUGUUUGGAUAGAGUAUUAUUUAAAAUAAUUAUUAUAAUAUUUUUUGCGUUGUGAUGUAUAUGAGAUAAAAACUUUAUCAAACCUAAUCAAAUUUACAAUACUAGGGACCCGCUAAAUAAGAGAAUAUCUCGUGGUGUCGUCUUAUUCACCAAUUAACGACAAUUUCUUUCUACGAUUGUCGUGUUACCAUUGCUGCGACAACAUAUUUUUCCACGCCAGUACGCCCCAGAAGAGUGAAGUGUGUUAUGCUCUGGAGUAGAAAUUGUAUAAUUGAUAAGUAGUGGAAGAAUUUGGGAAGAAGAUUGAGAGAGAUAGAAAGAGGGAACAGGCGAGAGAGAGAUUUGAAGAGAGAGAAAGUGAGAGUGAAGACAACUGAAUCUAUUAUUCAUAAGUUGACUGGACAAAUGGGUCCCACGCGUAUUUAUUCAACAAUUAAGCCUAACCGCCUAUAACUACCGUUUGAAUAUACAAUAAUUGGAACGACAUCGUUCUGCCCAAUUUCCCUAAUUCGCUGACCCAAUUUGCUGAUCCAAUUACUCGAAGCCUAACAAUUCCUUCCCCAUAACCUCAGACUUGUCCUCAAGUCUGAAACUCAGGAAACUGGUUCUCAAUGAAGGUCUUAUCCUCCCAAGAAACUUCAUCAUACCCCAAGUGAUUCCAUUUGAUUAAGAACUGGAUGACAGGCCUUUCCUCACGCAUAAUGACCCUUCGCUUUAAAAUAAUCUCUGGCUUUAAUGGACAUUGAUCACGCUCGUCUAGCUCAGGCAGCUUAGGAGAGCUUCAUUGUAGUGGCCCAAGCUUCUUUUUCAACAGGGACACAUGGAACACAGGGUGAAUUCUUGCAUCUGCUAGUAGUUUGAGCCUAUAUGCCACUGCUCCCACUUUCUCCUCCACCUGGAAUGGACCAUAAUAUUUUGCUGCCAAUUUGAGACAUUUCCUCACUGCUACAGUCUGCUGCCUAUAAGGUUGCAGCUUCAAGAACACCCAAUCUCCCUCAGAAAAACUCCUCUCAGUCCUGUGCUAGUCCGCAUAAUGCUUCAUCCUUUGUUGAGCCCUUGCCAGAUGUUCCUUUAUGCAACCUGCAAUUCUACUUCUCUCCUGAACCAUAUCAGACACUGUAGGCACUACUGAGUCCAGAUAAGGCCCCAGUGGCAACGGUGUAGGCUUGUAUCCAAAGAGUGCUUCAAAAGGUGUCAUGUUCAGGCUGGAGUGAAAAGUUGAGUUGUACCACCAUUCUGCUAAUGAGAGCCAUUUACUCCACUGUGAAGGAAGUUCACCUGUCAUGCAUCUCAAAUAGCUUUCUACACAUUGGUUCAACCUUUCACUCUGACAGUCAGUCUGGGGGUGAUAGGAUGAUGAGUAAUGUAGCUCCACUCCCACUAACUUGAACAUUUCCUUCCAGAACACACUAGUGAACACCCUAUCUCUAUCAGUGAUGAUAGACUCUGGUAAUUCAUGCAUUUUGUAAAUUUGAUCUAGGAAGUUCUGAGCAACCAUCUUAGCUGUGAAAGGAUGAGUAAGCCUGAUGAAGUGUCCAAAUUUAGUGAACCUGUCAAUCACCACCAGAAUAGUGUCAUACACCUGAGACUUGGGUAGUUUCUCAAUGAAAUCCAUAGUGAUAUGAAGCCACGCUUGCUUAGGCAUUGGAAUUGGUUGCAACAAUCCAGGAUAAGGAACAUGCUCAACUUUGUUCUUCUGACAAGUGUCACAGCUCUGUACAUAGGCUAUCACUUCCUGUUUCAUUCCAGGCCAAUAAAACAGAGAUUUGAGCUUCUGCCAGUAGUUCUUCUGACCUGAAUGCCUCCCUAAAGCUGAGUCGUGUAAGGUCUGAAUUAAUUGGCUUCUGAUGUUGUUGGCACCUCCUACAUAAAUCUUCCCCUGGUACUUCAGAAUUCCAUCCAGCAAGCUGUAAUCCACAUGGGAACUGGGGUCUAGAACUAGCUGGCUCAAGAUAUCCUGGCAUUGGGAAUCACCCUCAUAGCUCCUUUGCAACUCUUCCAUCCAACCAGGCUUAACAGAGGUGAUAGCUAAGCAGGACCCCAUCCCUUUCUGGUGUGCAGGGCCAUGCCUCCUGGAUAAGGCAUCUGCCACCUGGUUGUCAGACCCUUUCUUGUAUUCGAUUUUAUAAUCCAACCCCAAAAGCUUGGUCAUCCAUUUAUGUUGGAUAGCAGUGUUCAACUUCUGGUCCAGGAGGUACUUCAGUGACUGGUGGUCUGUCCUUAUAAUGAAGUGAUUCCCCAUUAAAUAAUGCCUCCAUUUUGUGACAGCCAUUACCAAAGCUAAGAGCUCCUUUUCAUAAACUGAGAGCCCCAAGUUCUUAGCUGAAAGUGCCUUGCUCAGGAAGGCAAUGGGGUGGCCUUCUUGCAUUAAAACAGCCCCAAUUCCUCCUCCACUAGCAUCUGUCUCUACCACAAAAGGCUUUUUAAAAUCUGGUAACUGAAGAACUGGUGCUGAGCACAUUAAUUUUUUUAAGUGCUCAAAGGAUUCCUGAGCUUGACUGUUCCACCUGAAAUUGUCCUUCUUCAACAACUCAGUGAGUAGCUUACACACAAGGCCAUAAUGUUUGACGAACCUCCUAUAGUAACCUGUAAGCCCAAGAAAACCCCUCAAUUCCUUAACUGACUGGGGCACAGGCCAUUGAAGGAUGCUACUGACUUUUGAAUAAUCUAUGCUGACCCCCUGAUCUGUGAUGGUAUGGCCUAAAUAGUCAACCCUUGUCUGGGCCAAGGCACACUUAGAUUUCUUCACAAAGAGCUGAUGUUUCCUCAGAACCUCAAACACAGUUCUCAAAUGUUGGACAUGAGCAUCCAUGGUAGGACUGUACACUAGAAUGUCAUAAAAAAAAAAUCAAUACAAACUUUCUUAGAUAAGGUUGAAACACCUGAUUUAUCGGUGACUGGAAUGUUGCUGGUGCAUUAGUGAGUUCAAAAGGCAUGACCAGGAACUCAAAAUGUCCACAGUGAGUCUGAAAAGCUGUCUUAAAGGUGUCUUGCUGCUUAACUCUGAUCUGGUGGUAUCCUGCUGUGAGAUCCAAUUUUGUUUUAUAGACAGAACCAGCAAGCUCAUCCAACAAUUCAUCUACAUUAGGUAUUGGAAAUCUGUCCUUGAUGGUCAUUUCAUUCAAUCUUCUGUAAUCUACACAAAAAUGCCAAGUCCCUUCUUUCUUUUUAACUAACAACACAGGGGAGGCAAAAGGACUAUUACUGGCCUUAACUAUGCCCUUUUGAAGCAUUUCUGCCACCUGUUUCUCUAUUUCCUCCUUGUAACAGUGAGGAUACCUGUAGGGCUUUAGGAAAAAGGGUUAUGCCUCUAGCUUGAGGUGAAUUUCAUGAUCAACACUUCUGCUAGGGGGUAGGGAGCUGGAAGUUUGAAACACAUCCUCAUAGUCUUGAAGCAACUCCAAGACUUCCUGUGGUAUAGUCUCUGUCCCUUCUUCUGUUUUACUCUUACAGUUCAGUGCCAUGCACAUUUGUCUCUUGUACUCGAUGAAUGUCCUCAGAUCCUUUCCUCUAAUUAAAUCCAUAUCACAGUCCUCUGCUUGUCCAUGUAAAUGAAUUUCAUUUCCUUCAUUGUGCAGGGAUAUCCUGAGUUGUUGAAAGUCAAAUGUGAUAGGACUGAAGUGUGUCAUCCAAUCUACCCCCAGUAUGAUAUCCCAACCUCCUAAUUCCAUCACCUUUAAGUCGAAUCUAAAACUGUGCUGGUUGAUUUUCCAUUGCACAUUAGGACAGAUAGCAUUGCUGGUCACAGUGGUGCCAUUCCCCAUAAUGACAGAGAAUGGUUGUUUAACCCAUUUGUACUCAAUAUCCAUCCCAAUUACCAUCUCACUGUUGAUAUAACUAUCCGAGCUUCCAAUAUCUACCAAUAUAAAGACCUUCUCCCCAUCCAGAAUUCCUAUCAGUGUAAUUAUUUUCCUCUUUAGAGACUCAGACAAUGCAUGUAGGGACAGUUCCAUGGUUUGCCCUGGAUUUCCUGUCUGUUCAUCCUGCUCCCCUAUUGCAUCUUCAAAGACAGCAUCUUCUUCAUCCUCCAAUACCAUACAGUUCACAUGUCCUAGCUUGCACUGGUGGCCUAUGCUGUAUUUCUCACCACAUUUGAAACACAGUCCUUUACUCCUCCUGAAUUGUAGUUCCUGUGUUGAGAUCUUUUUCAGUUCCUUAGUGUCCUCCUGCACUCUGUUACUGAACCUAGAAGUUUUAAGAGUAUUAUUGACAGGAACCUUAUAGGCGUUGCUGCCUCCAACUAUGGUGCUCCCCUUUGAAAUUCCAAACCUAUUCUCCCCAGAUUGUUUGGAGCUUUUAUGCUGCACUUUGAGCGAGUACUCUUGCCAUUGAGAUAACUCAAAGGCCUCAGUCAAUGUAGCAGGUUUCAGCAUUCUAAUCAUAGGUUUGAUCUCUUCUUUUAAGCCACUAAUGAAACUAGAAAUGAAAUAGUUCUCAUCCAAAUUCCUGUUCUUAAUCAACAUUAAUGGUUUUAACUCCUCAAAUUUUUCUUGAUAUUCUCCCACACUGCCUUCUUGUAGCAAUUUGUUAAAUUCUUCUACCACAUCCUGGCAAAUACUAUCUGAGAAUCUUUUGCAUAACAGAUCUCCAAAUUCUGACCAACUCAAUCUAGGUUUUUCAAGUUUUACCCCUUGGAACCACUUGUCAGCCUUUCCAUCUAAAUACAUCUCUAUAAUUUCGACCCUCUAAUGAUCCAGAAUUUGAUAGUUCAUAAAGUAUUUAUCACAUUUGCGUAACCACUCCCGAGGAUUUUCCCCAGUAAACAACUGCAAGUCUAUCUUAGGUGGAUUAGGAAGCUGAAACUUACCCCAAUCUCUUUUGUAGGUAUUCUGUUGUUCUCCUUCAGGUUGUAAUCUCUGAUGAGCUGGGGUGUAGGGAGAAGUGGCAUCUGAUCCACCGUCAUUCUUUCCUCUCUAUCCGUGAUCUUGUCCUUCGCAGUAGUCAUCUUUGAUAGGAGUGCGGUGAACUUCUGAUCAAAGGAAUUGCUGAAGUUCUGCUCCAUUCCUGUCAACAGAUUCUCCAUUCGCUUGUUGUUUUCUUCCAAUUCCAAUUUCAGAUUGUUUUUAAGCUGUUGUUGCUCUGAUUGCUGGGAGAGCAAAGAUUCCAUCAGUUCUUGGAGCUUGACUUCUUGCCGUUUUACUUGCUCUUCCAAUGAUCUGAAUCUCGUACCUUCCGCCAUGGAACUUGUUCGUACUCCAAGGAUCUAAGUUCUGAUUACCAAUUGUUAUGCUCUGGAGUAGAAAUUGUAUAAUUGAUAAGUAGUGGAAGAAUUUGGGAAGAAGAUUGAGAGAGAUAGAAAGAGGGAACAGGCGAGAGAGAGAUUUGAAGAGAGAGAAAGUGAGAGUGAAGACAACUGAAUCUGUUAUUCAUAAGCUGACUAGACAAAUGGGUCCCACGCGUAUUUAUUCAACAAUUAAGCCUAACCGCCUAUAACUACCGUUUGAAUAUACAAUAAUUGGAACGACAUCGUUCUGCCCAAUUUCCCUAAUUCGCUGACCCAAUUUGCUGAUCCAAUUACCCGAAGCCUAACAAAGUGACACCCACCCGGAGACAUUUUUUGUUUUGUAGAUGCAAUGAAUGUCUCGGUUCCUUCUAAGAAGUAAACUGUACAUGUUUUACUCAUUGACAGGAAGAGGACAUUUUACGCAAGUUCCGCAGUUGGAUGUUGAAACGUGUACGCAGCAAGCCCUUUUAUUUUGCACAACCAAGAUAAGAUAAGAUGCUAGAAAAAGUGUCCUAAUAGGAGACGUCCUUUCUUUCCUUCAUAUCAUUCAUUGUCAAAUUAAUGAUAGGGGUAUAAUUUUAUAUGAAUAAUCGGUGCACAACGUGAUUGUGUUUUUGGUUUUAGGAGGAUUUGAUGCAAAUGGGCUUGGAAUUGCACGUGAAACUUGAGCUUGAUGAUGAAAGCUGCCUAACUUGCGUGAACGUGUGGAAGAUUGAACUUGAAGAAGAAUGGACGCAAGUUGUGCUGGCUGCACUUGGUCGAAAAUCGCGCGAACCCGCUUUCUUUGGACAUUUGGACUAGGUGCUGGACUUUAGGAUAUUAUACAUAGGACUACUCGGAACAUUUUCUAGGAGGAAAUAGUUGUCUAAACAUGAGUUCUGGGAUUUUUCUUUAAGAUUCAAGAUAAAGGCGCGGGAUCUAGAGUUUCAUCAACUAAAAAGUUCUACAUGCUCUUUUAUUUUAAAAAGUUUAUCAAUGGGAAAAAGUGAUUUGAUGGGCAUACUUGAUAGAUAAUCUUGACCUAGUGAAGUUGAAGAGGCCACUCACUGUUGCUGUGAAGUUGGGGAAUCAUUCAAAAAGUUUCUUACAUUUUGCCAAAUGAAUUUUUCAGCCUUCGCUUUUAGAAUGUUAAUUUUACGUCUCAUACAAAUUCAAAUCAGUAAAAUUUGAUUCCAAUCUAAGUUUCUGACUACUUUUCAUCUGAAUCCAUCACAUAACUUAGAUGUAAUUGUUUUUUAGGAGCAAAAAAAUUAGAUACCAUUUGUAGUUAAAUAAAUGACUUAAUUUAUAUUUAUUUUUCUCUCUAAAAAAGUGGAGUUUAAUCUGAAUUAUAUUCAUUUUUCUCCUCAAAAAAUUAAGAUCGAACCUGUUUCAUAUUUAUUUUUGCCCCUAAACAAAUAGGCUAAUUUCUUGAAAUAUUGUUUUAAAAAAAGUUGGCAAAAUCUAGUCAGUGUUGGAUUUGUUCUUAAAUACCGAUAUUGUCAUACCCCAUGUACUGCAUGUGGCUAGGGCUGCAAACGAAUCGAGUCGCUCGCGAGCGGUUCAAGUUAAAACUCGACUUGAGUUCGAUCAAUAUCGAACUCGAAUCGAACUCGAGCUAGCCAAAUCGAAUUCGAGUUCAAAAUGUUAAGCUCGUUAGUUCACGAGCUCGAAUAUAUAUAUAUAUAUAUAUUUUUAUUUUAAUAGUAAAAUUACAUAUAUAUCCCUAAUAUUUUAUUAUUUAUUAAGAAAAGUAAUCAUUUGUUGUUUUUAUUAGAAUAAUUUCCAGAAACUUGAGUUAACGAGCUGCUCACGAGUUAGAAAUUUGAGCUAUAUUACUAGCUGACAAUUCGGGCUGCUCGCGAGCCAAAUUCGACUCGAGCUCGUGCCUGGUUUUUCCUUAGUCGAGUUGAGCUCGAACUCAAUUUUCUUGGCUCGUCGAGCUCAAGCCUACCUGUUAUUAAGUCGAGCUCAACUCGAUAAGUUCAAAACUCGAUUCGAUUCGACUCGUUUGCAAUCCUACAUGUAGCACCCAAAUACCUUUUUUUCAAUUUCUAAAUUUUUUUAAAGUGUUACUUUAUAUUUUUUUAAAUUUUCAAAAUAGGCUUCACAGGUACUAUAUUGCCAAAAAAUUAAAAAGAUGGGGGCCGUGGUUAUUUAAUUAGGUGCAGUUUGGUGUGCAUAUAUAUUGUUAGGUGCUUUAGUUUCUGCCCUUUCCCUCUUGAUGAUGCACCAUACGAAACUUCAAGACCCAUUUUUUUCUUUUCUUUUUUUUUCCUUUUUCCCCAAAAAAAAUGGUGAUCGAGUUUUAAAAUAGUAAUCCUUUUCGUUUCAUUUUUCUGGAAACAAAUUAAUUGUAAGAUCAAUACGAUCGUACUAGCUGCUGUUAAAUUAAUGUUUUAGCUUUAUUUGCUGUUUGAUUAGCAAAUGGCAGUAAUAGACAAUAAUAUAUUUUGAAGGGCAGCAAAUUAAGGCAUCAACAGGGUGAGGUACGUAGACUCCGAAGAAGAACAGUGGAUUUGGUGAUAUGUUUUGCGAUAUAUUAAAAUAAAUACAAAGGCGGCUGCCGCAACUAUUCAUGUACGUGCAUAAACGUGGAAUGAAAAAAAAAAUGUGGAAAACAAUGAAAUUAUUGUGAAUGGGUAAAUUAAAAGCAAAUCCGGCACGUAGUGGAGUACAUGCAAACCCCUAUUUUAUUCUUUUUUGUUUUGACAGAAGGGUCCCUCUUGGAGGGGAUCUUUUGCAAUAUAGGGACGGCACGUAGUAUGUUGUCCCUAUUUCGAAAAUUAAAAAAAUAAAGUAACAUUUCAAAAACAAAUUCAAAAUUUAAAAAAAAAAGUGUUUCAGGGUCGAAUGAAAUACACGUGCCACACCAUAGACAAAAUCAGUGCCCCUAAAUGAAGAAUAGAUCCACAACUCAAUUCGUUUUGUCAACUUUUUUUUUUAACAAUAUUUGAAGAAAUUACCCUAAACAAUCGGGAUUUGAUUUUUUUUUUUUUUAUAAUCCGGAACAUGCCCCGACUCGGACUUUUAGGACCCGAACUGGCACAUCAAACCAGAAGAGUGCACCACGGCCCCCGCUCAGCGACCCAGGACAAGUCACAGGGGUUUAAAUCCAGAAUAAGAUUCGAAUCCAGAAUCUCAAGAGUCCUUAAAAGCUCACUUACCGCUAGAUUACUCCUGUGAGGGCGGAGAUUUGAUCUUUUCAUGCCUAAAAAAUAGUAACAUGUGAGAUACGUUGUGAUUUUAGGCUAAAAGCGGUUGAAAAAUUAAGAGGCACCAAAUUUUACAGAUUAGAAUUUGUAAGAGACGUAAAAUUAAUAUUUUAAAAAUGAAAAAUGAAAACAUUCAUUUAACAAAAUUUGAGAACAUUGUGAACGAUUUUUUGAAUUAAGUUCUAACACAAUUGGUGGUUUCUAACCUAAAGAAACAAGGGAUAAUUUUAGGAAUCUCCCUUGAGGCUUCUGAAAAUAUUAUUCAACACUAUUAAACUUCUAAAAAUAUUACUUACCUCUCUUGUCGUUCAAAGUCUACAUCACAAGUCACUAAUUGAUGUUUUUACCCUCAAUACUAUAGGUUCAUUUUGGAAAAAUACUUUCCAACCAAAAAAAAAUUGGUAUGAUUGUCUUCUUUUGCUUUUCUUCCUUUUUAAUUUUGCCCUAUCUUUAAUCCAAGUGCCAAAUAUAUUUUAGUCCCAAAUCAGAAUCUUAUAUAUUUGAAAGUGCAAUAUUUUUUACACCAGUUUACCUACCAUUUUUGACUCAAUCUGUUCAACUCAUUAAUUUCAUUGCCUUCAUAUUAUUAUUUUACUAGCAAAAUUAGAGCCUGUUUUAGGGUUUUUUUUAAUUUUCUCUGCUCUCAAAAAAAAAUAUUUUUGGUUGUGACUCAAAAGUUUCUGGCUGUGGCCUUGCAAUUAGAACAACAAUUUUGUUCACUAGUAGUGAAAGAUUUGGCAAAUUGUAAGACUUCCCUCUUAAAUUUUAAGAGACCUUACUUGUUCUUUCUAAUUCUUUACUUUAUAUUUUCAAAAUCUGUGCAUCAAUGUUUCGAUUUUUUUUCACCUCAACUCUGUUCAUAUGCAUUUUCAGCAGCAUAAGUAACUGUUACUAUUUCAAAAAUGAUGUGCUUAAUAGUUAUUGUUGCUAUAUUUAGUUGCAUUACAAUAACAACCACUAUACCAUUUUUCUUUGGCUUUUAAAUCUUUUAUUAAUCCUCAUAUGGAUUUUGGGUAAUGAAUGAACAAGAAAGACAACUAAAAGGGCAAUUUUGAAGUAACAAUAUGUUCUGUUUACUUAAAUGAAUCUUUUAAUCUUACUUUGCUCCUAGUUCCUGAACAUGUUACAAAAGAGUUGAUUUAGGGGAGGUCAAUGAGAUUUUCAAAAGUCUAGAAGUAUAAAGUGGUAUUCACAAAAACCUUAGGGAAGGUUUCUGAAAUAAUUCAAAGCCAAUGCAUGUGGCACGUACAGACAUUAACAUGAUCAAACUUGACCAUGUCUAUAAAACCCCCGCUGGAGUUUGGCAUUUAAACCACCACUUGCUAUUCAGCCCUGAUGGAAAGCACCUGGCUACUCCUAGCCUUGGCAUGGCUUGUUGCAUUGGUUUUUCUCUCAAAAGUAUCCACUCACAAACGCCUCAAGCUAAAUCAUCCACCAGGACCAAAACCAUGGCCUAUUAUUGGCAACCUGAACCUCCUCGGUUCAAACCCACAUCAAUCCUUACACUUAUUGUCCCAGAAAUAUGGAGAAAUCAUGCAACUAAAAUUUGGUUCCAGCCCUGUUGUAGUAGCUUCAUCCCCUGAAAUGGCAAAAGAAUUCUUGCAAACGCAUGACAACAUUUUCGCCUCUCGGCCUACAACUGCUGCUGCCAAAUACACUAGCUACAACUGCUCCGGCAUGUUAUGGGCACCAUAUGGUCCACACUGGCGACAAGUUCGUAAAAUUUGUCUAACCCAAAUAUUUAGUCCAAAACGACUUGACCGCUACGAGAGCAUGCGCAUUGAGGAAAGGCAUGCUUUCAUGUCUCGUUUGUAUGCUCUCUCAGGAAAGCCAGUACUUUUGAGAGAUCAUCUAAUCCGUUUUACACUCUCCGCUGCAUGCCAAAUGGUUUUGAGUAACAAGUACUUUGCCCAAUCUGAAGGGGAUGGAUCUGUAGUUACCUUUGAAGAACUCCAAGAGAUGAUAGAUACCUGGUUUUUGCUGGGUGGUGUGUUCAAUAUUGGGGAUUGGAUUCCGUGGCUCGACAGAUUUGACCUUCAAGGUUGCGUAAAGCAAAUGAAAGAACUUUACAAGAAAUUUGAUAGAUUCCAUAACCAUGUGCUUGAUGAUCAUCGGGCCAAGAGGAAAACGGAGAAAGAUUUUAUCCCUAAGGACAUGGUGGACAUUCUAUUGCAAUAUGCUGAAGAUCCUGAUCUCCAGGUUAAACUCACCGAAGAUCAGAUGAAAGGGCUAAUUCUGGUGCUAUUUCUUAUCAUUGGUUAAUCAAAUUUCCAGAUCUCUAUACCUCUUUAACUUACUGAAACUUAAAGCUAGCACUUUAGUUUAGCUUACUAUAAUGUGCCAUUAAAUAUAACUGUCUUUUUUCUUUUGAUUAAGAGGUUUUCUGCUUUCAAUAUGUUGUCAAGCAUGAUACUUCAUCAGCAUUUGAUCAUGGCAAGACUAAUUUUACCAAGAUUUGAUCAUGUCCAGGACUUACUGGCUGGUGGUACCGAUACCUCGGCGUCCACAGUAGAAUGGGCAAUGAAUGAACUUCUCAAACAUCCACAUCUCAUUGAAAAGGCAACCGAAGAGCUUGAUAGAGUGAUAGGGAGAGAUAAGUGGGUGGAAGAGGCUGAUUUCUCAAAGCUACCUUUUCUAGAGGCGAUCAUAAAGGAAACCUUUAGGUUACAUCCAAUAGCAACGCUGCUUCCACCCCACCAUGCCAUUGAGGAUGGCACUGUAGCUGGUUAUCACAUUCCUAAAGGAACAGUGGUGUUUAUAAACACACGGAGUAUAGGGAGGAACUCAAAGUAUUGGGAUUCUCCUGAAGAGUUCAUGCCAGAAAGGUAUUUGGAGAAGGAUAUUGACAUGAAGGGACAAAACUUUGCGUUAUUGCCAUUUGGCUCAGGUCGAAGGAGGUGCCCAGGCGAUAACCUUGGACUCAAACUUGUUCGAUCAACGUUGGCCAACUUGUUGCAUGGAUUCAACUGGAAAUUGCCUCAUGGCAUGAAACCAGAAGAAAUUUGCAUGGAAGAACUCUACGGAUUCAUAACUCAUCCAAGGACUCCAGUUGCUAUGAUCCCAGAACCACGUUUGCCGGUCAAUCUCUACUAGAGAUCGUAUGAUUUAAGGGAAAAUUGAAAUGUGUUCCUUGUUGGCAAAAUAAACCAAACCUAAAAAUUGUUAGUGUCAGAUUUUUAGUGGUUGUGUGAUCUAGAAAUUAAUAUUUUAUUUGGUAAUUUCUUAUACAAGUGGUUUCUUUCUCAAUAAGUUUGCUAGGUUAUAAAUAAGACAUUAUUUAGUAUAUUUUUUUAAGAGAGUCCAGAAAGAGUCUGUAAGGUUUUAUUAUGGUAUGAGUUUCUUGCACUAUUUUGAAAUAUCAAUAAUAGUGUGAAUUAUUUAUUUCUUUUGUCUCUCAAAAAUAUGUUAGUGAUUGUUUCAUCCUUUAAUCUAUAACCCUACGCGCAUUAGUUAUUAUUAGAACUUUAAAAUUUGGAAUCUACAAUUGGUAUCACAAGCCCAACACGAGGUUAGUUUUGGAUGUUUCCAUUGUCAGAGAAUUAAGGCAUUUCUGUUGUAAGAGAAUUCAGGCACAAAUUUAUUGAAAAGUAUUUGGUUGACUAAGUUAGACCACAAGGUUGGUCUUGAAGUGCACAGUUGGUGAGAAAUUCAAUCAUAAGAUUGGCUAAAAAAUUAUUAUAUUGUUACAGGUACUAUGACAGAGAUUAGAGAAGAAUCUUAUCAGAGUUGUUGAUUGCUGUGGAUUAUUAGAUUGAAGAAUUUAAUUAGUUAAUCAACCAAUGAGGCCACAAAACUUGAAAAAAGAGGAAAGAAUUCGUUGAUAUACGUGAGUUAUUAAUGAUGCGUGUUUUGAGAUCUAUGUAAUAAUGAAAGGUAUAGCAUACUAACUCCUAAAUAUAAAAGCCAAGAAUCAUAUUAUUGUUGAUUUUUAAGAGUAAAAAAAUAUCUCGAACAUUGCAAUUUAGAUAAUUUUCUUGAUGGAUUGUUACAAAUGAAUUACCAAAACAUGUUGUCAAGAGGAAUGCUAGAUUAUUUUUUCAAGUUAUGUGAAAAACAAUGUUUGACUGUACUUCAAAAUAUUUGUUCAUCGUACUAAAAUUUAUUUUGGAAGAAUAUUUAUUACGUUUUGAAAACUGUUGAAUUGAAUGAUGCUUUUAAAUCAAAAUUUGGUUAUUGGACAUGGUUAGUUGAUUUUGAGAGUGAUAGAUUUGUAGAUGACAUGGGUGAUUUAGAAGAUUUUGAAUGGGUUGAUAGUUUAGAUUUGCAUACCAUAUUUGGAGAAAUUGGGAGUGAUGAUUUUGUUGAAAAAAAUGUGUUAAUUUGACAAAGAAAGAAGAAAAUUUUGAUUUGAUAAGACAAGAAGAAGAUGAAAUUGCUAUUGAAAAAUUUGUUAGUUUGGACUUUCUUCAAGAUGAUGGUAAGAUGUUUGAUUUGAUAGAUAUGGAUUUAUUGGAGUUGAAAAAUAUUUUACUUCUAAAGAAUUGAUUGACAUUGUGAACUUUUUUUGGUAAUUGUGGUAGUGGAAUUCUUGAAUUGUUUGGUGAUGAUCAUUUUGAUAAAAAUGCAAACUAUGAUUUUGUAUUCUUAGGCACUUACGUUGGUAGUAAAUAUGGUAACUCUUGUGAUGAAUGGCUUUGUAUGAAUAAGUACUUUGAUCCAAAGGAAAUUAUUUGCAAAAUACAAAGUGCAAUUCACUGUCACGAGUAAAGAUGAAAUAAAAAUCGGCAACAAGAUAGAGUUGCAUAUCAAUUAUAAUAUGACAUAGAUUUGCAUGGAGACUGUUGCUCUAGAUAGAGUUGAACCUAUCUCAAUGAAGAGUUUGGUUUAAGAGAGGCAAUGUUAACAAAAUAAGCCAAGCCUAAACUUUUCUACUUAUUUAUUUACUAAUUUUAUUGGCAUCAGAUUUUCAGUAGUUGUAUGAUUUAAAAAUUUGUGUUUUAUUUGGUAACUAGUUUUGUACCCGUUCGUUGAACGGGAAUCGUCGAAAAAUAAUAAACUUUAGUCAAUUUAUAAAAAUGUCGAUAUAAAAUACAUAUUUAAUAUAUAAUCUAUUAUAACUUGUCUUAAGUAUAUUACUAUGUGCGCAUUGUAAUGUAAAGUAUUCUUAUAAUAUAAAUUUGAACAUCUAAUUCAGUGAAUAAUAAUUCAAAAAUAGAAAAAAUAACAUUCAACAAUACCAUAACAUUCAAAAACUUGAAAAUAAAUAAAAAGUGCAGUAAAUAGUAUCAAAUAAUAUUCUACUAUUCAAAAACUUGUUUUUGUUUUUUUCUGUUUGAACAUUCUCCUCGAUUUGUCCGUGUAAAUCAGCAUUUAUUGAUUUUCUAUUAUCACUGCAUGAUAGCAAAGUAGGAUAACUAAGUAUAAAAAAAAUAAAUGAUUUAUCGCAUUCAAGUUUGUGUAUAACAAUAUGUAAAGAUUAUAAUUAAGUAAAUGGCCAGAGUCUUUUAAUUAACUAAUGAAUUUGCAGAUAUAUCUAAUAGAGAUAUUUAUGUCUCUUGUAUUUAUAUCGCAUUACUUUCCAGUGCCUUUUGUUUUUUGUUAUUUUUUCUGAAGGCAAAUUAACAAACAUCGUAGUAUAUGAUCACAAAAAUCAAUUAACAAACACGUUAGAAAAAAUCCUACAAAAAUAACGAUGAAAGUACUUGUUUAAAUCCUAUGUCUUCAUACAAAAUAAAUAGAAAAUAAAACAAAAAAAAAUUCAAGAUAUGUUACUAAGCUCUUACAAUUGAAGAUCAACAUGCCUUUUUAAAAAAUAUAUAUAUAUAUAUAUAUUGAAAGAAAAUGUACCUGAUAAUCAAGAGGAGUGGAAACCCAAAAUCGAUACUUUAAUAUGCCAACCACUUGCACUGGAAAUACCUAACCAUGAAUUUGAUGCUUGAAAUCAAUAUAUUAGAGGCUAUAUGUAGUGUAGACAUAGGAAAUAAGAAUUGAUAAGAAUAUAAAGAAAUAUUGAUAAGAACAUUAAAAGUAUGUUUAUCUUAAUUUAAGUUGCUUAAAGUACGUAACUUUGGGUAGGAAAUAAGAAUCUUAUAAUAUUAAGAAUUCUUAUAGGAAAUAAAACCAUAAUCGUCCAAAUAACUUUGGGUAGGAAAUAAGACCUUAUGUGACCCGUACUAUGCACGUAUAUAAACCUGUACGUAAUAAAUUUACAAAUGCGUUAUGAAGAUAGAUUUUACCGACCUUAAAAUACCACCUCCACUAUAUCGAGUCCUUUAAGUGCAUGAACUCCUAUGGUAUGGGUCCACACACGAAAUACUCCCCACCAUUUGGGCAGAGAUGUAUUGUGAUUAAAGAAUUAUUAGCAGAAAUAUAUUAAAAAAAAAAGACGGGCGGAGGACACUACGGACGGAGGCCUUUCUCUUGGAUUGGAGGACACUACGGACGAAGGGUCGGGUAGGGGCCUUCGGGGUGCAAAACUCCAACAAAUAUCUAAUGUUUUUUCUCAUCUUUCUUUAGCUAUGAUAAUGGGAUUUUAUUUCUUUGGUUGAUGACACUCCAUUUUCUUUAUGGACUUUUCCAGAAUUUUUCAAUCAGAUAAAGUGCCAUUUCUCUUUGUACAUCAAUUAUGCAUGGGGACUGUGAGUCUUGUAAAAACUUUCUCGGGUUAAUUUUGUUUAAUUUCCAUGUCUAGAUUGUUUGUAUGUUGUUCUAUAUAUGGGUAGAUUAUCUUAAAAUAAAAAGGAUCCAUGAUGAAGCUGUUAAAAAAAAAAAGAAUAGGACACUAUAAAAAAAUAUAUUAUCAUUUAUUCCUAUAUAUCUAAUAGAGGAGAUUUAUGUCUCUUUUAUUUAUAUCGCAUUGCUUUCCAGUUCCUUUUUUGGGUAGGAAAUAAGAAUCAUAUAAUAUUAAGAAUUUUUAUAGGAAAUAAGAAUUGAUAUAUAUCCAAACAAAAAAGGAGCAAUCCACGUAGGAAACUACUUGCCGUCUCGUUAAGCCACGUAGGAAAGAGAAAAUAUGAAGGGAUAAGUAUGAGGAUACGACUUUAUUAUAUAUAUAUAUAUAUGAUUUCUUAUGCUAGUAAUUUCUUAAUUAACAAGUUUCCUAUAUAUAUAUAUAUAUAUAUAUAUAUAUAUAAAGGAGUUGUUGUGUGGCUGUUGGUUAAUUUUCAUCUAACCAUUUUGAGGGGUACAUUAGGCAUUUCAAUACCAGUGUACAAGUCAUUAAUGUUAGGGUACUAGCAUUCUAGGUGUAUUGGUAUGUACAUUACCCAACCUAUCCUUAGUGGCUUGAUGCUUCCACUCUGUCGAUGCUUAGUUAUAAAUAGGACAUUAUUUAGAGUGUUUUCUCCAGAGAGUCCGAGUCUGUGAAGUUUAUUAUGGUGUGACUUUCUUUCAUUGUUUUGAGAUAUCAAUAAUAGUGUGAAUUAUUUAUUUCUCUCCUCUCCUAUAAAUAUUUGAGUGAUUGUUUCAUCUUUCAAUCUAUGACUUUAUAUGCAUUAAUUAUUCUUAGAAUUCUAACAUUUGGGUUCUACAUUCCUACACUGUAUCACUCAAUGGUUGAACUCAUUCUCUGCUCUCCAAUUGUAUCAUGCCCUUGUAAUCGCUUAGCCCAUUGAAAGUGAUAGUGAUCGACAAAUUCCUACAAGUACAUAGGGGUCAAUCAGAGUAAUAAUUCACCUAAAAUAUUUUAGGGGUUGAAUCCACAUAGAUGAGUCAAUUUUCUACUUUAAUUAUCGUAACAAAAUAAUGAAACUUAAAUUCAAAGGAUUUUUAAUUACUAAUCAAGAAAUUGAAUAAAUAAUCAAAUCAAAUAAGAUAUAGGUGAGAAAAUAAUUGGCAAAAGACUAGGGUUCAGGUUUUAAUCCAUAUUUUGAAUUAUUUAUCUAGUUAAUUUCUUAACAUGCCAAGAAUAUAUCAUGCAAAAGUUUUAUAGAUUACCUUUUGAUACAUCCAAAUUGCGUCCAAUUAAAUUUCAUGUCUCUCCCAAAAUUAUAAAUAUUUAAUUAAAAGAGGUUUCUGACAAUUUCACUCGCAUCCCUCAGAUUUGAAUAAUUACACUAACCUCUCUUCAUAUAGCUAAAUGACUACAAUAUUCUUCACUUAUAAAUAAUUCAUACAAACAAAAAAAAAAUACCCUAGAACUACAACUAGUUUUUCAUUCUAAAGCAACAGUUGCCACAUAAAACAACUUUUAUUCUCUCUCUCCGACCCUUUCUCCUACUUUCUUUCUCCUGCAUCUCAUAGUUCACUAUUUUUUCGCAACUGCCAUCUACACAACCAUUUAAUAUAUCUCGAAUCCUUAUUAUUAUGGAAAUAGAUCCUCUUUCUUUUUUUUGUAAGUAUUAUUGAAUUAAAAUUGCCAAAUGACAGUUAUCGGAUUUGAUUUGUUGUUAAACUAAAUGAAGAUGAAAAGGAUGAUGGUGAUACAGAAUGCAGACAAGAAAAUAAAACUAAUGGCUAAAAAGGAAACAUGAAUUGAGGAAGAUUGUGUUAUUAUGUCAAUUGUGUAAAAAAGAAUUUUGGGAUAAAAAUUGCAAUUGAAUUUGCCUAGAGACAUGGGAUGUUUUUUCUAGUGUUGCUUUUGGUUGCUCCGUGUUGGUUUUCUUAGUGGGUUUGAUUAUUUUAGCAUCAACGAAGUUGCAACAUUUUGGAUUGAGUUUGGAUAGUGACAUUGGUCAAUUCAAGCACUGAAUUUAGACCCCAAAAAAAAUGAGGUUAAAGAUUAGGUUGAAUGCAAACUUUUAUUGUCAUAAUUGAUUUGUAUGGGAAGUUUUGGGACAGCAAUGGUAGGCUGUCAAAAUUGUGAGAAUAUGGGGAUUAAACUGAAGUGGUUUAUUGAAGUUGUUAUGGUGGUGGUUAUGUUGCUUACAAUAGUUGUAACGUGGAAGAAAUUUAUUAGUGUGUUUUUCCCCUUCUAAGUAAUAAAGGGGUAUUUUAGGAUUUUUAAGAACAAAUUUAGUAUAUUGAGUCUAUAUUGUUACUGAAAUGUUAAUCAUAGGGGAGGUAGGUGUAAUUUUUUAAACUAGAGGGGAGCUUCCUGCAAUAAUAAAAAAUCUCAAGGGAGGUUUCUGAAAUUAUCCCGUAAUUAGGUUAAGCAUAUUUAUCUAUCUAAUACAUGAUUAUAUAUCUCUUCUCAGUUCAAUACAAAUCCUAAAACAUGUCUAUGGUGGCUAAUCACAAAUAUGUAAUUAAGACAAGAUAAAUAAAUCAAGAUAAAAGUCAAGAAUUUAACUAGAAUAAAUAAUCAAUUCUCUUCAAAAAUUCCUAACCCUAGAAGUAAAUUAGUUCAUCAUAAUUGUAAGAAUAAACAAGAAUUCAAUAUUGAAAAUACAAGACGUGGAAUAAAGCGUAAGAAAAGUUUCUUACCGACUCCAGAUCCCGUGUCUUGAUUGUCAAUCUCGAUUCUUCAAUUCCUAAAGAAAGCCAUAGAACUAAUGUUUUGACAAGUGUUUUAUCUCCUAAAAAUGUUCUAAGUACUCCCAUUUAUAGUUUUCUAUAAUCUCUGUUGAAUCUCGAAAGGAAUACGCUUCUUGAAAUUGAAGAAAACGAGCCCCGCAUAGUUUUUUUAUGACAUCCGGUGACAAGUCAAUUUCAAGAUCAAAUUUCCACGCGUUUGGAAUACAUUUCCUCCUCGAUCUCACUUUUUUGCAAGUUAGGAUCCAAUUAAAGCACAAAAAGGCAUAAUCAACCAAUAAUUUACAUGUGUAACAUUGCUAAAAUCCACACCCUACUAGAGAGCUUGGGAGUUGGGACAGUAAAUUUCACCUAAGAAAACAUUAAAGAGACAAUAUUCCUUUUGGGGAUUUCUAUUGUGAAACAAAAUAAAAGUCGCAACCAAACUUUUGUCUUUCUUUAAAUUGCUUUUGGUGAAUUCUAUAUUAUGAAACAAAACGAAAGUCACAAUCAAAAUUUUUUUUUGCUACAAAACGAAAGCCAAAAUAUCACAAUUAUAACAUGUGGAAGAUUUCACAUGGAAAUAUUGAAGAUUGAAGAGAGAGAUAAAAAAAAAAAAUAGCUCCCUUGUUGCUUGUUAGCAAUGAAAAUAGGUACAUAACGGAAUUAAAUGUCCUACCUAUACUAAAAGCAGGAGCUUACAAUUGAGGUUGGAAUUGGGUUGACUUGAUUGUCACUUUAUUUGCAUGUGCUCCUUUUGUCUGGUAAAUAGGGAUCUUAAUCAUAUAAGUCAUAAGAUCAGUGUGCAUCGCUAGACUUCAUCGAAGAUCAGAAAUUUUGGAUUUCUCCGUGUUAGUUUGUACUGAUUGUAUAGUUCCCUCAAGUCUUUACUUAAAAUUGUAAAAAUUUUAUCUAUAAAAUCCGGUAUCGUUUCGAUAAAAAAAAAGAAAAAAAGAUUGUCCCUUUAUUCCAAAGCUGAUUGCACCAUUUUUGAGGUAGCAAUUGUUGUAAUUUUGAGCAACUUCAGUGGCAAUUGAUAACAUCGACAUACGUCAUCUUGGUCUCUUUUUCCGCUUCCAUUAAAACUCUGACGGAACCGACUGAUACGGCAGAAAGUAGCCAUUGUUCCAAUUACACAUCCAUUUUCAUGCUUAAUCCCUCUCACCCCUCUCAAUUUUGCUUUCUACAUAAAUUUUUUUUUUCCCAUCAACUUUUUUAAGUUUUUUUUUUUGAUGGAGUUUUGUUUCAGUACGUUUUUGUUAACUAAUUUGUAAGUUUUUUUUUUUAAUGAACUGUGAAUUCUCGCAAAAUUGAAACUCUGGACAAAUGGAAGGAAGGGAUAUGCUAAUCAGGUUUAAGUCAAUCAAUUUGCCUUGCAAUUGUCCAAAGUAUUAAAGAAUUUAAUGCGGUUUCUUAUAGUCCAAUUAAGUUGUGCUGAUAUGAUGAUGACAUAAAGUACUCUGGACCUGGAGUAUAAUUUUUUUAAAUUUGACUUUGCACCAUAAAGUUUAGUUAAUGACAAUUUAGUACAUAAAACUUCUAUUUCAUGCUACAAGCGCCUACAAUCCAAUUCAUAACUGUAUGCUAAUGAUGGUUGAACAUAUAUAAGUUACACAUUUGAGAAGCAAAAUUAUCCUAGUCUCUUUAGCAUUGAUGAAUUAGUGUUUAAUUAUGGCAUUUCAAUUUAACCGUUGACAAGUAAUUGUGUGACAAGUCCCUGAAAAAUGAUUGUCAAUAUGAGAUAGAGAUAGAGAUAAAAGUAGGAUGUAUCUAAUUUUACAUUUCUCUUAUCAGAAUUGUUGAAGAGUCUGGAAAAUAUUCCAAUAACAACAGUCUCUAAUCCAUGAAAAAAAAAAUAAUCUUAUUCAUCAAAGUCAUGAUUUUGAUAUCCUUCAACGAAAGUAACACAGACUUGCUUCUUUUUUUUUUUUUUGAGAUUGAUGGAAGGAAAAGAAAUAAUCAAGACUUCAAUAAUGGAAAGGGAAACAAGAAUAACGCUAGGCAAGACGGCAUGGAUUUCAAAUGUUUUUUUUUUCCAGCGUUCAAUUCCCCUGGAGUCUCAAUAUUUGGAUUGUAGGUUUUUUAAGAAAAAAUUUUUACAUUUUUCAUGAACACAUUUUUUAAUUAUUUUAUUAUUUUAUAUAUAUCAAAUUAUUAUAAUAUUUUUUUUACAAAAAAUUUUAAAAAAUAACAAUCUAAACGCAAUUGCAGCACUAGUGCUUAGCAAGCUUGAAACAACCCUCUCGAAUUAAGGUGUGAUCAUUUUGACCAAAAAAAAAAAAUUAAGGUGUGAUAAUGCUGCACGUCAUCUACGAUUUUUCAGAUUCCUACUUCUUCUAUAUUUUGACAAACGGCAUGUCUGUGUCUAGCAAGAAGUGUGAUAGUGCUGUACGGCAUCAACAAUUUUUUAGAUUCCUACAACUUCAAUACUUUGACGGGAUAAUUUUAAAAAACCUCCCUUGAGAUUUUGAUAAUUUUACUCUGCUCUCCUCAAUUUUAAAUAAUUAUGCUUACCUCCCUUGACAUAAUAAAGUACUUAUAAUGACCUUCACUUAAUAGACAAUUCACAGUAUAAUACAAUAUAUUUGUAAAACCAAAAAAAAAAUCAUAUUUAUCUAUGUCUUGGCUAGCUCUACUCUUCUCUUUUCUAGUUAUUAUACUGUCAUAUUCUCUCUUUUUUUCUUCAGUUUUAUAGAUAUUACCAAAUUGAAAUUGUAAAAUUAGUAGUUCAAUUGAAAUGACAAGACUCGGAGUCAUAGAGAAAAAAAAUAAUGAAAUUAAUGAUUGAAACAGGUUGGAGGAUCAAAGAUGAAAAAUUUACCAUAUAUUUUUUUUCUGUGGCAAGCAUUGAUGAUCCUUUGGAUAGUUGCUUUGAUUUGGAACUAGAGUUUUUACUUAGGUGGUUGUUAUGAAUUGGGAUGGUGGAUUUGUGCAGAGUGUGAAAGAAAAGGAUCGAGUAUACUGUAUUUUUUUUUUUUACUUUUGUAUUAAAGGGUAAUUUAGGAUUUUUGAGAAAAAAUCUAGUUUGUCGGACUUAUAUUAUUAUAUAAACAAUAAAAAUAAGGAGUUAUAUGUAAUUUUUAAAAUUAAAGAGAGCUCUUGCAAUUAUGAAAAAUGUUAAGGAAGGUUCAUGAAAUUAUCCCAUACUUUGACAAAAGACGUGUCAAUGUCCGGCAAGACGUGUUAUAAUGCUGCACGCAUCAAUGAUUUUUCACAGCCCUACGACUUCAAGACUUUGACAAAAGACAUGUCUGUGUCUGGCAAGAAGUGACAUAAUAUAAUAAAGAGCAAAUUUUCCAAAUAGUCCUUCAACUUUUUAACUAAUUCACAUUUGGUCCUUCAUCUUAAAAAUGAGAUAGAAUGAUCCUUCAACAAAAUUUUUUAGACCAAAUUGGUUCUUAUAUGGCAUAGCAGCCAAGAAAAAGUUGGAUCAAAGUGGUGAUGAGAUUUGAAUUUUCUUACCUGUUCCGUCACAUAGGGACCAAUUAAGCCUAAAAAAUUUCGUUGGACAGCCAUUAUGUCCCAUUCUUAAGAUGAAGGAUCAAAUAUGAAUUAGUAAAACAUUUGAAUGACUAUUUGGGGGACUUGCUCCAUAAUAAAAUUGAAAAGCUGGGAUGUUUGGAAAAUAUUUAGAGGCUUGUAGCAAAGUGUGUUAAUGGGAAAAAAAUGAUUUGAUGGGCAUACCCAUGAGAUAAUCUUGACCUAUUGAACUUGAAGAGGACACGGCUGCUGUGGAAAUUAUAAGUACAAAGACAAUUCGUGGUUUCUGAGCUACAGCAAUGAGUGAUAUUUUUAGGAACAUCUGUUGGGGUUUUUGAUAAUUAUGUAGUAUUCUUAAACUUCUAAAAAUAUCACUUACCUCUCUCAUUUGAAGUCAACAUCACAAGUCACCAAUAUUUUUACCCUCAAUACUAUAGGUUUAUUCUGGAAAAAUACUUUCCAACCAAAAGAAUUGGCAUGAUUUUCUUCUUUUGCUUUUUUUUUUUUUUUGAAUUUUGGCCUGUUUUAAUGAAAAUGUCGCAUAUAUUAGUCCCAAUUCAGGAGCUUAUAUUUUUGGGUGUAAUUCUUUUAUGCCAGUUUACCUACCACAUUCCCCGCAUUAAUUUCACUGCCUUCAUAUUAUUGGAAGAGGUUGUAUUUUCAAUACCGAAGUAGAGCCUGUUUUAGGGUUUUUUUCCUCCGCUCUCAAUUUUUUUUCUUAGUUUUGGCUCUCAAAAUUUCUGGUUCUGGCCUUGCAAUUAGAACCACUUUUUUUUUUUUUACUAAUAUUGAAAGAUUUGGUGAAUCGGAUGACUUCCCACUUGAAUUUCAAGUGACCAAUCUAGUUUUCUCUAUUUCUUGACUUUAUAUUUUAGAAUAUGUUCAUCAAUGUUUCAAUUCUUUUCAUCUCAACUCUCUCCAUAUGCAUUUCGAGCAACAUAAGUAUCCGUUCCGAUUUCAACAAUAAUGUGCUUAAUAGUUGUUAUAUAUUGUUAUAUUUAGUUGCAUUACAAUAACAAACACUACACAAAAUUUUCUUGGAUUUUAAAUCUUUUAUUAAUACUAAUAAGGAUUUUGGAUAAUGAAGGAACAAGACAACUGAAAGGGCAAUUUUGAAAUAAAAAUAUGCUCAUUUUACUUAAAUGAAUCAUUUAAUCUUACUUUGCUUCUAGUUAGGGGUGGUAGAUGAAUCGAGUUACUCGCAAGGAAUUUAGUCAAAGCUCUACUCGAACUCGAGUUUGACUGAUAUUCGAGUCAAUUAUUGAAUCGAAUUCAAGCAUCUAGGUAAUUGUUAAAUUACCUAAAAACCUAUAUUUUUAGAAAAAAUUGUCUUACCACUCAAGCUGGAAUUUGAUCUUAAUUUGCUUCUUGAGCACCUUUAUCUUUCACAUGAGCCGAACUUGACCUUCAAAGUUGAUGAGCUCAAACUGAGUUUGAGCUCAAGUAAUGUCUUCAAGCUCAUCGAGCUCUAGCUUGAAUACAUUCUGUAUUUGAGUUUGACUCCGUUCAUUGCCAUUCCUAUCCUAGUCAUUGGACAUGUUACAAAAUAAUUUAUUUUGGGGAGGUUAAUGAGAUUUUCAAAAGUUUAGAAGUUCCAAGCGGUAUUCACAAACACCUUAGGGAAGGUUUUCGAAAUUAUCCGAAGAAUCAAUUCAAAGCCAAUUAAUGGAUGUGGCACAGAUUAACCUUAUCAAUCAUGACCGUGUGCAUAAAGCCCCCACUGGAGAUCGGCAUUCAAACACCCAGUGGAGUUCAUUGCCAUGCUAACUUAUUUCAGCCCUGAUGGAGACUUGGCUGCCCUUAGCCUUGGCAUGGGUUGUUGCAUUGGCUUUUCUCUCAAAAGUAUCCACUCGCAAACGCCUAAAGCUAAAUCAUCCACCAGGACCAAAACCAUGGCCUAUUGUUGGCAACUUGAAACUCCUAGGUUCAAUCCCACAUCAAUCCUUACACUUGCUGUCCCAGAAAUAUGGAGAAAUCAUGCAACUAAAAUUUGGUUCCAGCCCUGUUGUAGUAGCUUCAUCCCCUGAAAUGGCAAAAGAAUUCUUGCAAACACAUGACAACAUCUUCGCUUCUCGGCCUACAACUGCUGCUGGCAAAUACACUAGCUAUAACUGCUCCGAUUUGACAUGGGCACCUUAUGGUCCAUUCUGGCGACAAGCUCGUAAACUUUAUCUUACCCAAAUAUUUAAUCCAAAGCGACUUGACUCCUUCGAGAGCAUACGCAUUGAAGAAAGGCGUGCUUUCAUUUCUAGCUUGUAUGCUCUCUCAGGAAAGCCAGUAGUUAUGAGAGAUCAUCUAACACGUCUUACCCUCUCCACUGCAAGCCAGAUGGUCUUGAGUAACAAGUACUUUGCACAAUCUGAAGGGGAGAGAUCUCUACCUACCUUUGAAGAAUUCCAAGAGAUGAUAGAUACUUGGUGUUUGCUGAGUGGUGUGUUCAAUAUUGGGGAUUGGAUACCAUGGCUCGACAGAUUUGACCUCCAAGGUUAUGUAAAGCAAAUGAAAGAACUUCACAAGAAAUUUGAUAGAUUCCAUAACCAUGUGCUUGAUGAUCACCAGGCCAGGAGGAAAACAGAGAAAGAUUUUAUCCCUAAGGACAUGGUUGACAUUCUAUUGCAAUACGCUGAAGAUCCAGAUCUCCAGGUUAAACUCACCAGAGAUCAGAUAAAAGGGCUAAUUCAGGUGCUCUUUCUUCUCAUUGUUUAAUCAAAUUCCUAGGUCUCUUUGCCUCUUUAAGUUACUGAAUCUCAAAGCCAGCAGUCAUGCUUAGUAUAAUGUGCCAUUAAAGAUAACUGUCUCCUUUCUUCUAAUUAAGAGUUUUUUAUUUCCUUUCUAGAUUAAUAGUAUUAUAAUAUUUGAUCAUAGAGGCACUAACUUUACCAUUGUGUUGCUGACCAGAACGUGCUAUUAAAGAUAAGUGCCUUCACCCUCAAAAAAAAAAAAGGAUAACUGUCUUCUUUCAUCCUUCUGAUUAAGAGGGCUUUGUUGAAUUUUCCAAGAUUCCAAUACGAGAUUUUUAUCUUUUAUCGUUUGGGAAAAAAAAAUACGAGAUUUUUGAAUACAACUAUGAUAUAAACGCGUACCAUUUAUAAAACUAAUCUCUGAAAAAAAAAAAAACUAUUAACUAGAUUCACAUUGAUUCAUUGCUAUUUUAAUCCUUUAAAUCUUAGGCUGGCAUUUCAAAUCAACAUGUAUUCUUUUAUCCUUAAAGAGGAUUCUUCAAUUUCUCUCGGUAUCUGGGAUAUACGAACUAUUUUGCAAAACCAAAGUAUACGACAUAAAAAUGCAUGUGAUCCGGGGAUUAUAACUAUAAUAUAAAUAACUUUUCUAUUAUCUUUUGGUAUUUCUAUUUUAAUCCAUCAUAAAAAUAGAAAUUAUUCACAAGUCUCUAUACAUUAAAAGUUCAUAUCUUACUAAAUAUAUUAAAAUUAUAAUUAUAAUUGAUUACUUAAUUGGAUUUAAUCUAAUUUGACAGUUUGCAAUACAUAAUUAUUCACAUAUAUAAGUCUAGCUUUGGAUCUAGGAUCCAACAGUUUUUUUCCUUCCAAUCUGUUGUAAAUCAUGAUACUUCACCAAUAUUUAAUCAUGGCAGGACUAACUUUACCAUUAUUUGAUCAUGGCCAGGACUUGCUGGUUGGUGGUACCGAAUCCUCAGCCCUUACAGUAGAAUGGGCAUUGAAUGAACUUCUCAAACAUCCACGUCUCAUUCGAAAGGCAACCGAAGAGCUUGACAGAGUGAUAGGGAGAGAUAAGUGGGUGGAAGAGGCUGAUUUCUCAAAACUGCCUUUUCUAGAGGCGAUCAUAAAGGAAACUUUUAGGUUACAUCCAGUGGCAACGCUACUUUCGCCCCGUUAUGCCCUCGAGGAUUGCACUGUAGCUGGUUAUAACAUU
rnacentral:lncRNA from 1 species